UGCCAGCCGCCGCGGUAACACGGGGGGCGCAAGCGUUAUUCGGAAUUAUUGGGCGUAAAGGGCGCGUAGGCGGUCUUAUCGGUCAGAUGUGAAAGCCCGGGGCUCAACCCCGGACGUGCACUGGAUACUGGUAGUCUUGAGUAUGGGAGAGGAAAGUGGAAUUCCGAGUGUAGGAGUGAAAUCCGUAGAUAUUCGGAGGAAUACCGGUGGCGAAGGCGACCACCUGGCCAGAUACUGACGCUGAGGUGCGAAAGCGUGGGGAGCAAACAGGAUUAGAUA
rnacentral:rRNA from 1 species